UCCAGCAUGGCGUAGUGGUUUGAGUAUUGGAUUAUGACUCUGGAGAUCAGGGUUCGAUUCCCUGCUUGGC
rnacentral:tRNA from 1 species